rnacentral:misc_RNA from 1 species
AAACAUCUCAAGACAAUCAUAUGUGUUGUCUUGGAUAUUUGGGGGUUUGCAGGCUUUGGAAAGAGCCAGCUCUCCUUGAAUGCAUUAGUAGAGAGGACAACUGAGAACUCCAUUGGUGUGAUAAGAUCCAUCUAUGCCAGGAGCAAGCUGUAUUGGCCCUCUGCUGUCAAACUGUCCAAUCUGUAGGCUACAGGGACAACUUUGAACA